CCGCGACAGGGAUAGUAGUGGAAAUCCUUUUGCUUGGGAAAUGCGUCAACGGAUGACAAAUCGUGAUAAGCAAAAGAUUGUAGCGGAUAGCCCGGUGACAA
rfam:Epilithonimonas sp. FH1 contig02, whole genome shotgun sequence.